GGUUUUCUCCCAUUUGACUUGUAAUUGCACGCUUACGUCCACCUUCCAGAAAGUUGUGUACACACCUUAUAUUACCCAGCUCACCGAGGUAAAGAAGACCCUUCAUAUAUUGAAACUCCAAAAGCCUUGAUGAGGAUUGUCCAGGGAAAAGCAGCACUUUGGUGAGG